UAUUUCAGCAUUUUUGCAAAAAAAAUAAAGAUGAAAAGAAGGCAAAAGAGGAGAGGGUCUUAUACAUUAAAUCUUGAAAGAAAUUAGAUACCAACCUUUACUGUGAUAAUUGUUAAUAUCAUGGUGUCACAGUACCAUUCAACACCAGUGAAGUGUUAGAAUGGUUACGACAGGAUCUGGAGAUUAACGAGGAGGUUGAGCAGGAGAUAGACGAAGAAGAUGAACAAGAUUUGGGGCGUGGAAAACGGAAGAAGAAGGCUAAUCAGAUGAAGCAUUCGGUUAUUACAAGUAAAGUAGUUGUAAUAGUCUAGUUACUUUGUAAACCUGAAAUAGAAACUAUAAAUAAAACCUAUGGAUGAUGAGAUAGGCAUCCAACGAUUGAAACCAUUGUCAUCUUCCUCCUACGGCUCCUACUGGAGAUUAUCCUCUUCUUCUCACCUACGGCCCGUCACGGGAUUUCUUCCUUUCUUUUUCUCUGAUCCAAUCACGUCCAGAACGUAGUUGUUCCACAUGGUCAUGAAAGGAUUGCUAUCACAUUGUGGGAUUUCCCAAGAAAUGAAAGAAUAAGAAAGAGAGCAAGAAAGAGCAACUAUAAAAGAAGGCCAAAAUAGAAUAUCAGGCAAAUCAACUCUACCUUUGCAAGCCCUGCACUAACCAAUGAAAAAUUGAAAUAUUUAAAGAUUUUU
rnacentral:lncRNA from 1 species